rnacentral:rRNA from 1 species
UACAGAGGUGGCAAGCGUUGUUCGGAAUUACUGGGCGUAAAGGGCGCGUAGGCGGCCUUCUAAGUCAGACGUGAAAUCCCCCGGCUUAACCUGGGAACUGCGUCUGAUACUGGAGGGCUUGAGUGCGGGAGAGGGAUGUGGAAUUCCAGGUGUAGCGGUGAAAUGCGUAGAUAUCUGGAGGAACACCGGUGGCGAAGGCGGCGUUCUGGACUGUAACUGACACUGAGAAACGAAAGCCAGGGUAGCAAACAGG